GCUGAUUUGAGCCAAGCCAGAGGGCCGGCUUCCAAGCAAAUGAUACAAACAAUAUAAAUGCGCUGGAACUGGGGUUCUGGGGCCCGGGGCAUACAGGGAUUCUCUACCCUCGCCCACUGAUAAUCCAGCAUGGUUCCUUAUUCUCCGAUAGAUGACUUUUGGGAUGUAACUUUAUGAUUUGAACCAUAGUGGGCUCCUUGAGCUAGAAGGGAUGGAGCGCUGCCGAAUGCUUGGGCAAAGGAUAAGUUCACCUCAAACUUUUUACGUGACUCUGUAUUGAAGCAUGCAAAAACUUUGUGAUCUUACGAAUUGGUUAAACCUUUGUGGUCGUGUGCGUUGAAGUGCAUGUAAAGUGCGGACUACAGGCAUCAGGUGGCAAGACUACGUCAUGGCUGUAAAUCCGAUGACUACGGCUCCUGAUGCCGCGCUUGCUGACCCGACUGUUCUGCGAAAUGGCGCCACUCUUCGGCCGUGUAAUGUCCAGAAGCGCGGAAGGGACCGAGGAGCUUCUGCUACCAACAUGCCAACGACGGGUGCGCCGGAAAUAUCCAGCGAUGAGCCGUCGCCAAAAAGACAAAAGUGUAACGUUCCUGCUACAAAAACUCAAGAAAAGCGACUUAGACUUCUGGCACCCAAGUUGCAACCGAAUGCCGCGUUCUUGAACAUCCUGAACGCCCGACAAGGCAUGCUGCCCCUGAGUAGCUCUGAACCUUUAACAGUAUUAUUGCUUUGCGAACAGGGUCAACCGUCGUGUAACGCAACUAAGGUGUCGCUUCUGAAACCUACCGGAACUGACCGUGAACCUCCAAUUACUAUCAUCACAAGUGAUGAUACUGGCGUAGUGUAUACGAUGGUGACAAGGGUUGAUGAUAAAAAAACUAUUUCUUCAACUAACGUCAUGUCGGCUUCUCUGAAAGAAAGCGUCACCGAGUCUGGAAUAAUCGACAUUCCAACGGCGGGUAUUGGUGUAGAUCAGUGUGUGUCAGCACUGCAUGAGAGACAAGCUUCUGCGUCCUCUGAUUGUGCCAUGUUACCACCCACAAAAAAUCUCACAAGCGAGCCUGCUCUUGUUAGCAGCCUCACCAAAAAAACUGGCAUAACACAUAGCAUAAUGUUUGCAGUUGAAAACAGUGCAUCUGAAAUGUGCACUGCUGGCAGAAUCUCUACGAAAGAAAUAAAAGAAAGGCCCAGUGAGCCACCGAUUGUUGGCAUCCCGCUUCCGAAUUUUCACUUUGAGCAUAACUAUUCGGAAGCUAUUGAGAGACGAGCAUCUGGAGUGUGCACUUCAAGCAGGACUGUGUUGGCUACUGCGGAAGAUGCUGCAAAGGAGCCAACAGUCAUUAGCAGCCCCACGGAGAAAACUGGCAUUGUGCACAGUAUGCUGACAAUGACUGAAGAAGCAUCUGAAUUAUGCACUUCAAGUGUCUCUACGUUCGACUCCACAGAAGACAGUGCCAUUGAGCCUACAAUAAUUGGCAUACCUACUGUGAACAUUGACACAGAGCAUAGCAUGUCAGAAAUGGAUGACAGACAAGCCUAUAGGUUGAGCCAUCCAAGCAACAUCAAGGUGGAACCUCCAGAGUGCAUAGAGUGUGCUAUGAACGUUGGCACAGAGCAUGGCAUGUCAGAAGCUGACGAAGCCACUAGGCCGUGCAGUCCAAGCAAGAUCAAGUUGGAGCCUCCAGAAUAUGUAGAGUGUACUGUGAAUGUUAGCACAGAGCAUUGCAUGUCAGAAACUGAUGAGAGACAACCUAAUACAUUGUGUAGUCCAACCAAGAUCAAGUUAGAACCUCCAGAGUUCGUUGAGUGUGAGCCCUCAUUUAGUGACAGCCAUUAUGAGAAUAACAAUGUAGUGCAUAGCCCACUGACAGCAGUUAAAAACAAGCUCUUUGCUUCGUGCAAAUCCAAAAAUGCCAACUUGUCUUGUAUGGUAGACAGUGGCAGCAAGCAUGCAGAUAUUGGAGUUGCUGCUGAUGCCACUGAUGUGGAAAACAAAACAUCUGCAGUGCUUAUGGAACAAUCCGCUGCGCCACACGCUACAGGCAGCACCAGUUUGUUCCCGGCAAAAGACAUUGCCAGUGAGCCUACUAUUAAUAGUAUCCCAUUGGACAAGGCUUGCUUGUCGUGUUGCAAGCUAACAUUGGUCAAAAAUGAAGUGUUUGAGUCAUGUGCUUCCAGUGGUGAAGCAGUGACCUGUGCGAACGACACUUCUACUGAUCCUGCGGUCGUUGUCGUUCCUAUAGACACUGUUGAUGUACAGCAUAGUGUGUCAAAAGCUGCUGAAAGUCAGGCCUCCACAUCAUGCACUUCAAGCGAACUUACUGUCAUUUGCAUCUGUAAUGAGAAUACUGGCAAAGCAACUAGCACAGUGACAAUAUCCGAGAGCCCAACUUCCUUACCGCAUGCUUCAAGCAACACCACUUCAGAACUUGCGUCACAUAUAGAUGAAUUGGGUAGUGACUCAUCACCGAAAUUGAUGCCAUAUUCAUGUGCACUGCCCAGCUCAACUACGACCUUCAGAGAUAAGAGACGCAGCUCGCGACAUCACGCCAUUAAGGAAGGGCUAGUCCGCAGCAUAUGCUUUAGUGAGAAAACUAAAGACAUUGUGCGUGCUUUGGAACACAAGAUAACAGUGCCCCAAAGGAAGGUAAUGUUUUACCGGGAGAAAGUCAACUCCUUAAAGUCGCAGUUCCAUCGUGUGCAGCAGGUCAUGAAGCAGCCACAGACACUGUCAAAUUUUAGAAAGUUUGUCAUGGCUGUUCCACAUAGUACAGUUGCAGAUGAGGAAACAGGUGCUUCCUGAAAUAUACUCAGAUGUUUUUGUUUGUGUGCAUCUUCCAUAUAAGGCUGUAAAAAGGAACAUAAAUAUUUUAUUUAUUAUUGUUCCACAUGCUCUGCAGUUUUAAGGUUGCAUAUGGGCCAUGUUCGAAGUGUGGUGCAUAUGUACUUUUUUUUUUUUACUUUUUAUUUGCUUUUUACUAGCUACAACAAACCAUCCCCUUGUUCUAUCUUCUAUUUGAAUCGCCGUGCAGUGCAUCUUGAUAUCUACGUAAGUUGCUGGGUACAGCUGUUGUGCAGAGGAUUCAGUGUAGCAGUGUCCCCAAGACAAUAUGUAACUUACAGGUUUUCAAUCUCUGACAUCGCAACCUUAAAUACUGCUCGGUUUAAAGUCGUCAUUAUUAAAAGAAUAAAACUUUAUUUUGUUUUGUAUUGCUUGAAUACCUUUGGAUUUCUUGGUAAUGUAGGCCCUCUUUGCUGACUAGUUUUCUUACUAGAAACAAGAUGGCGCAUCCAUUUCUUGGCUCAAGAGGUGCAGUGGUGGUUAGAUUCCCAGUCACGGCGGUUGUGUUCUGAGAGGGGUGAAAUGCCACGACACUCCUGUAUAUUGAUUUAGUCGCAUGUUAAAGAGCACCAGCUGGCUUAAAUGAAUCCGGAAUCCGGAAUAGCCUAUGUGAUGCUUUGGUAUGUGAAGUUCCAUAAUUGCUGUGAUUUCCUGCCUCAAGCCACAGUGCACGGUGAAUUUAUUUUCUCACCGAUGUGCCGCUUCUGCACGACCACUGUGUGAAAGAUUUUACUCUUUGGCCAGUGUAGUUUAAGUGCUGGUUUGCCAUUAGAAUGCGCUGUCUUGUACAACUGUCAUGAUAUAUUAAGAAGUGCGCAGAAGAAUUGCGGUGUUCUGCACAUGGGAGCGACAACUAAGUGUGGAUGCACGCAUGGCACGUGCCGAUCUUCUGUGCUGCUUCGUGCUCAAGGGAACCACGCUAGGUGGGCAACCAGUCCUGGGAGCCAGAGGAGCUGGGCUGCUUUCUCAGACCACCUUGCAUAUAAGCGAGAGCCUGAUGGACCUGAACUUCUGCUGGGCAACCAGUCCAGGGAACCAGGUGAGGUGGCCACUGUACCGUGCCACCGCAACGACCAGCAUUGCUGCUAGAGGCAAAAGCCGUAGGGCACUUAUAGGAAUCCUACAAGAUUGAUGUCUGACAAAAAUGCCAUAGAGCAACAAAAGAGUGACAGCAGGAUAGGAUCGAUGUGCUAACAACCGCUGCUUCCCUGUUCCUUUGAAUAUCUGAUUUCAUACAGAAAGAAAGACAAGUUUACUUCCCCUCUGCUAUCGCUGAACCCAAAGGCUUCAAGGAGGCCAGAGGAGCCUAAACCGACAACUGGGCAGAUAUCUUCACAUUCUAUAAAACAUGUUCCAUCCUGUCCCUACGUUACCGUAGCAAGCACAUGCUUCUUCCUCGGUGUACCUCGCUAAUUUAUAAGUAUCUAUACGGGUUUUAAGGCAUCCUGAUCUCGCUUCGAAAAAUAAAGAGCUUCCCUUUGAGUUAUCAUAAAUUGUCUCUUCCCUGAUCUAUUUUUUUUUUCUAUUAGGUAGUUACUCACAGCAUGUUUCUUUUCCAUUGCCCCUACUCAUGGGAUUGUCUGAGCCUCUGUGACUUUGCGUUUGACGUUCUUUAUUUGUUGCCACGUUACUUACUAUACCGGUCGCAUACUCGCUUGCAAGCUUCCUAUUUCUUUUCCUCCACUGUGAGUAACUUUUUUUCCUAUACAAAUAUUUGAACACUGUCACAACCCAUUUACUUUCUUCCAUAUUCCUCAGUCUUUCUUUAAAAUGAAUUUUACUCUGACGUUCCCUCACUUCAAAACUUGUCCAUCCUAUAUCGCCCUGCAAUAAAAGUUUUGUUUGGGCCAGUUGGUUUAUAACUGAAAACCUUGAUGAGUAGCGCGAAAAACAUGGUCCAAGAAAGACACAAGCACACAGGACGGGCACAAUGAA